rnacentral:rRNA from 1 species
UACGUAGGGUCCGAGCGUUGUCCGGAAUUACUGGGCGUAAAGAGCUCGUAGGUGGUUUGUCGCGUUGUUCGUGAAAACUCACAGCUCAACUGUGGGCGUGCGGGCGAUACGGGCAGACUUGAGUACUGCAGGGGAGACUGGAAUUCCUGGUGUAGCGGUGGAAUGCGCAGAUAUCAGGAGGAACACCGGUGGCGAAGGCGGGUCUCUGGGCAGUAACUGACGCUGGAGGAGCGAAAGCGUGGGGAGCGAACAGGAUUAGAACUACCGAG